GAUGCUGAAUUUACGAGACCAUUGUGGGUUUUUGGCAUCAGCUCGUAUGAUUUUCUUGGAAACAGCGACCACAUUGUUUUCAGUUAUAGACAGCAAGGAAAGUCACAUCUUGGUGUGCUUGAUUGUGAUUCAGGUUCUAUUUCAUUGCUUGACAUCCCUUUCUCUGAUUUAUCUGAUGUGGUUGCUGCAGAUGAUUACUUCUAUAUUGAAGGUGCUUCUGCGAGUAUUCCACGGUCGAUUGCUAAGGUGACAUUAAAUGAAAGCAAAACCAAAGUAGUCAAUUUCUCAAUAGCCUGGUCGUCCUCACCAGACCUCGUACAAUAUAGACCUUUCUUCAGCACACCAGAACUUGUUGAGUUCCCUACAUCCAAGCCUGGCCAGAAAGCUUAUGCCUAUUUCUACCCACCAUCAAAUCCCAAUUUUCAAGGUUUGCCUUAUGAAAAGCCUCCUUUGCUUGUCAAAACACAUGGAGGACCAACUGCUGAAACACGUGCAAUUCUGGACCUCAGUGUCCAGUAUUGGACAAGUAGAGGGUGGGCGUAUGUCGAUGUCAACUAUGGA